rnacentral:rRNA from 1 species
ACUGAACGCUGGCGGUAGGCCUAACACAUGCAAGUCGAACGGCAGCACAGUAAGAGCUUGCUCUUACGGGUGGCGAGUGGCGGACGGGUGAGGAAUACAUCGGAAUCUACUUUUUCGUGGGGGAUAACGUAGGGAAACUUACGCUAAUACCGCAUACGACCUACGGGUGAAAGCAGGGGAUCUUCGGACCUUGCGCGAUUGAAUGAGCCGAUGUCGGAUUAGCUAGUUGGCGGGGUAAAGGCCCACCAAGGCGACGAUCCGUAGCUGGUCUGAGAGGAUGAUCAGCCACACUGGAACUGAGACACGGUCCAGACUCCUACGGGAGGCAGCAGUGGGGAAUAUUGGACAAUGGGCGCAAGCCUGAGCCAGCCAUACCGCGUGGGUGAAGAAGGCCUUCGGGUUGUAAAGCCCUUUUGUUGGGAAAGAAAAGCAGCAGGUUAAUACCCCGCUGUUCUGACGGUACCCAAAGAAUAAGCACCGGCUAACUUCGUG